AAAUGCUGGAAAACAAGAAGCCUAUUCCUCCCAGUCCAGCCCAGACCACCGAGAAGCAAGAUGUAACCUGCCCAGCUAAAAGCUCUUACCUGCAGAUGUGCGAAUUAACCAGUUGUGCUGUAGCUAUUGUGGGAAAAUAUUAAAUCAUGUCUCCCUGAAGCCCAGCAGAUGUUAUGGCCUCGGAGAGAAGAGGAGCUGAACUCAAAUUUCUAGAGGAGGAGAUGUUGACCCUGGGAAGAUAUUUUAAACUUCAGAACAUUAAACUGUGGAAGAUAAUAGUUUGAAAGAAAGAAGAGAAGACCCAUUCUUCACAAGAAAGCUGCCAAGGACAAAGUUCUCAGGGGCGGGGAUGAAGAACGCAGGAUCACACAACAUCCCUGCCUCAUACUGGACGGUUCCUGGAUGCAUUCCCCUACUGCUCUUCCCUAUUGUCUCUCACAGUGUCUCCCUUCUCUGAGUCAGCUUCCGACUGCACACAGCCCUGGACAGAUGCCUUGAGUUCCCACACGCUGCUUUGGCUUCCGGUUUCCACCUAUUGCAGGACAUGGCAGCUGGGGCGCUGCUACUCUACAGACUGGCACUACAGGGAUGGGGCACCCUCUCUAUCACCCCUGGAGU